GUCUUUUUAAGGCACCUAAUAACAUUGGAACAAUGCAGAGAGAAAAUUAGCAUGGCUUGUUUGCAAGGAUGAUGCACACAAAUGGAGAGAUGGUCCACAUUUUU
rfam:Vitis vinifera, whole genome shotgun sequence of line PN40024, unoriented chromosome 11, chr11